rnacentral:rRNA from 1 species
AUUGAACGCUGGCGGCAGGCCUAACACAUGCAAGUCGAGCGAGCGGCGGACGGUUGAGUAAUGUCUGGGAAACCGCCUGAUGGAGGGGGAUAACUACUGGAAACGGUAGCUAAUACCGCAUACCAUCAGAUGUGCCCAGAUGGGAUUAGCUGGUAGGUGGGGGAACGGCUCACCUAGGCAACGAUCCCUAGCUGGUCUGAGAGGUUGAACAGCCACACGGGAACUGAGACACGGUCCAGACUCCUACGGGAGGCAGCAGUGGGGAAUAUUGCACAAUGGGCGCAAGCCUGAUGCAGCCAUGCCGCGUGUAUGAAGAAGGCCUUCGGGUUGUAAAGUACUGUCAGCGGGGAGGCGUUACCCGCAGAAGAAGCACCGGCUAACUCCGUGCCAGCAGCCGCGGUAAUUC